UGUCAUUAGUAUGCAGCAGAAUGUGAUUGGUUAUAUAGUACAGCAUUACAAUAUAAUCCUCUUCAUAACUUCAUUCUCAACUUAUUGUGAUCACAGAAAAAGGCAAAAAGAUAUCACUAACAAGUACAAGUGAUAGAGUUUGAAUAUCACUUAUCUAGAAUUCCAAAAUCCAAAGUACUCCAAAAUUCAAAAUUGUUCAAACUGGUGCCAGAGAUAAUGGCAUCUUUGCAUUCUGAUGAUUUAAUAUAUACACAGAUUUUCAUGUACAAAGUUAUUUAAAAUAUUGCUUAAUCUCCUAUAGGUUAUGAAGCAUAAAUGAAGUUAAUGAUUAGAUUUAGUUUUCAUCUCCAAGACAUCACAUUAUAUAUGCAAAUACUAGUAUUCCAAAAUCGGGGAGGGAAGGGAAGGAGAGAGAAUCCAAAAUCAAAAGCAUUUCUAGUCUCAACUGUUUUCCUGAAAGACCUGGGUCUAAUCCAGUAUAGCCGCUGUCUGGACCACCCUCUCAGAAGUCCUGGGACUUCUGAGGGGGUGGUCCACACAGCCCACUCACAUUUUCUAGGCUCCAUCAGCCCAGAAAACCCAGAGAGUUGUAACACCUCCCCCUCCCCCAGAAAAGCCUUAAAAACUACAAAUUAUUUACCUGGAUGCCAUUACUCUGCUGCUGGUCCUCUCCUGGCACAUAGAAAGCAAUUUUCCUCCUGGCCCCCCUUCUCCUGUUGUGUCAUUUCUACACGCAAGGAGAGGGCCAGAAGCAGGGUGAUGGUGGGCGGGUAAGUAAUUUUUAGUUUUUAAAGCUUUUCUGGGAGGGGGGGGUGCUGUCCAAGUGCCCUGCCUGAAGGUCUAGCAGGGCAUCUGGAUACCAUUCCAGAAAGCACAUGUUUUCCACUGGUGUGGGGAAAGAAGUCCAGCCUGACCCAGGUUUUUUAAACCUGGGUCAGACUGAACUUCUCUCCUGUGUGAAAUCAUCCAUAGUUACCUAGGUUUGUAUUUGGUGGGGGAGAAUCAGCUCCAUGGUGACUGCAUGAUGCACAGAGCUGAUUUGGGUUAUCAUUGGCCAAGGCCACUUAAUGCACCCUUGAACUGUGUUAAUAAAAGUCCUGGAUUGUUCUGAACUUGCUCCAAGAAUCCACAGCAAAUUGUGACUUCAGGCUCAUGUAAGCACUUGUGAGACUUCCUGUUCAGGAAGGUCCAGGGAUAGGAGAUAGCCAGGCCCGGUCCAACGUGGAGGCCGAUGAAGCUGCCGCGUUGGGCGCACGUCAAGAGGGGGCACUGUCGAGGCCUUGACAGCGCCCCCGUGUAAAUUUACCAAGGAGGGAGGAGGCUGCGGCAGGGACCAUCACCUCCCUCCACAGCAAACUCGGAGGGAGGUGAUGGUCCUCGCUGCCCCCGCCGCCGGCGCCACCGCCAAAAGAGGUAUGUGCAGGGCCUUGGGGGUGGGGCGGCCACUAGGUUUGCUUACAAGGCGAAAUUACUUAGGGCUGCCCCUGGAGAUAGCAUUUACCUUUCCCCAUUAUUAUGGUAUUUGCAAUGGCUAUUGGGCAUGAGAAUACAGUAGUGGUGUUCAUUUCUUAGCACCUGGCAUGAUGCUGUCUGAUGCAAUGAUGUGACUGGAGAAGAGGGGAGCAUUCGCAUCAUGUCAUUUUGAUGCUUAGAAGCUUCACUCCAGGUGCUGAGCAUUGAACUUAACAAUUUGUGUGCUGAGUGGGCACAGCAAACACAAAAAUGAUGGGGGCAAAUGAAUGAUGUUCUGAAAAGUUCAAAUUUAUUCUAUUGCCUCUGGGCUGUGCAGUUUACAGCUUCAGAAUUAGCUCUGGGGCUAGAAUACAGACACUUACAUUGCAGAUCUCACAUUACCAAAGGACUAUUUUGUACACAGAGGCACCUUCUUUCAGGCAUUACUAGGAGUAACUACAAAGUUAUAAAAUAUAUUAAGUCAUAUUCAGUAGAGGUUGGAGAGGAACAUAAUACCUAAGAAUCCUACCUGAACACUGCUAUUUUACUCACUAGACAAAUGGUGUUCUGGGCCUUUGGAUGUUCAUGAGAAAGCUUUGUAUAGCCUACAGACAAGUCCCCUUAAGGAUGAUGAAAUAGCAGCAUAUUUCUCUAUCAUUUCAAAGUCUCUGAAGUCUUUCAUUUCUGCCUUGUGGCACUGUGUUUUUAUGACCUCUUAUCUUAGAAGCAUCUGAAAGACUCCAAUUUUUUUUCUCCAAACUGGUUAUCCUCCCUUGACCAAUGCUCUCCUGAUCUCUGUUGCUCUUUCCUGAUGUAACUGAAUCCAUCACAUUAUUAACCAUUUGUUAAUAGAUUCACCUGGAGGAGAUAUUAAACCAUCAACUGUGUUACCAAGAUAAUGAUCACAGUGAGAAUUAUUAGUGUAACAAAGUUUUGUGGUUACUCUUUAACCAUUGACUACUUGAAAGUAUCUUUAGAGGAAUUUGGAAAGGAUUUUGUUCAGGUUUUAGGCUGUCAAUCCAAAGGUACAUUGGAGAGAGGUGGGGGAGAACAGACAAAUAUGAAGCUAUAUGAUAUAAUAAAAAUACAAUAAGUUUCAUUGUCAGAAUUUCAAUCAAUAACAGUUACCAGUUACUUUUUAAAAUUCUAUAAUGAGUAAUGGAAUCACACAUAAUGAGUAAUUUAAAUCACACAUCUGAAGCCAAUCUCAGAGUCUUCAGGGCAAUUCUUUAUAUUACACACACCCACAUUAUGUAGAUAGCCUCCAGCUGCAACACACAGAAGUUCGCUUAUUUUUUAAAAUAGUGUUUUCAAUCUGCUUAAUAUUUCAUUCAUACUCAUUUUAAGAAAUAAUUGUAAACCAUUUGACAUUUAAUGUAUCAUACUUGAAUUAUUAACUUUUGAUGCUUAUUUGCAGUGCUUAAAUGCCAUGCUAAUUGCCAUGGGGGAAUAAACAGAAAUCAUUUCAACUGCAGAAGUAAAGAUCAAGAAAUGUGGCUUUUUAAGUACUUACUUAUGCUUAAGCCUGCAACCAGCUGCUGUAUUAAAGCUAAGAGAACUUUUUGAAACGUUCCUUUUUCUUUUAAUUGUGCUGUAGAUUUGAACAACAGUUGUAGUGAUGGUGGUACAACUGGUGGUUCAUGAUGCUGAUUGAAUGCUGAUUGACCAAAAUGCUAAUUCUGUAUAAGGUGUCUAUAUCCACGUCUCCUACAAAUCAGUUAAUCAAUGAAUUUCCAUAAAAUUCUGUCCCAGUUUGAACUUCAUCCACCCAGCAGGCUGGAUAAAGCUUUCUGCUUCCAUACUUCCAAAUCCCCUCAUGACACAAGUUAUUUUUCAUGUGACAUGGGUGCAGCAUUAUGAAAACUGACUGCAAAAAUCAGGAGUCCACCACAUAAUCUCCCUUUCCUUUUCUGGCAAGAAAGAAUCACACAGGAAACACAGAAAUGCCUGACUUUAAAAAAACCAUGGGCAUAAAUCCUGUGCAUUAAUUCUCAGGGGAAUCACAGCUGUGAAUUCAAUAUCUAAUUUUGUUUCUUAAAAUUGGUUUCGGCUUCUGGGCAUUUCCACAUUACAGAAAGCAGUAUUACUUCCUAAAAAUAUUAAUGUGGAAGGAAGUACCAUUGAUUGUGAGAUGGAAUGCUUAGGAUGGCAGACUUAAAACAUAUUAUUUUUAUUGCUUUAUAGAUCUAUUUGUCUAAAGUUAAGCAAGAAGCUAAUUUGCUGAAUACCAUGAUCUUCAAUGAAGCCAGAAAUAAAUACAACGAACUAAAACAGAAAUUAAAUGAAAAGUGCAAGUAAAGCAUAUCGGGGAAAAGUAGUAUUAAUGUAGUUGUAUUCAUUGGUAGCCAUUUACUAGGCUACCACUUAUACACUACUCCAAAAGAUAGCCAUUUGAAUACAUUUGCAUAUGCUGAUUUAUAUGAAUAGCUGGAAAUGAAUGAAUGAGGACUGUAAUGCAAAUUCAAAUGCUAUACAUUUUCCAAUAAUGAGAAAGUGGGUAGCUGGGUUACCAUCCAGUAAGGUAAAGGUAGGAAAAGGUUUCCCCUGACGUUAAGUCCAGUUGUGACCGACUCUGGGGGUUGGUGCCCAUCUCCAUUUCUAAGCCGAAGAGCCAGCGUUGUCCAUAGACACCUCCAAGGUCAUAUGGCUGGCAUGACUGGAUGGAGCGCCGGAGCGGUACCUAUUGAUCUACUCAUAUUUGCAUGUUUCCAACCUGCUAGGUUGGCAGGAGCUGGGGCUAACAGCGGGCGCUCAUUCCGCUCCCAGGAUUUGAACCUGGGACCUUUUGGUUCGCAAGUUCAGCAGCUCAGCGCUUUAACGCACUGUGCCACCGGGGCCCCCCACCAUCCAGUAAGCCCGACAUCAAUACCAGGAAAGGUUCUGGAGCAAAUCAUUAAUGAGGCAAUCUGCAAUCACUUAGCAAGGAAUGCUGUGAUUACUAAAGUCAACAUGGAUUUUUCAAAAACAAGACAUGCCAGACUAAUCUUAUCUCUUUUUUCGAUAGAGUUGCAAGCUUGGUAAAUGCACGGAAUGCUGUGGAUGUAGCAUCUCUUGAUUUCAGUAAGCCUGUUGACAAGGUCUGCUGUGAUCUUCUUUCAAACAAACUAGUAAAACAUGGGCUACAAUACUACUGCUAGAUUGAUUUGUAAUUUUUUUUUUGUAUGUUUGUUUUUUCCAGUCAAUUCAUUUAUUUUAUUUUCUCCCCAAAGGGAAUUUUUAUUAAUCAUUAUUUAUAAUACAUAAGCAUAGUUACAUUUUCCUUUUCCAUUCCCUUCUCCCUCCCCAUCCCCACCCACCCCCUUCCCUGUUGAGAACUUAAAGCUUAUUUUCUUGUUACAUGAGCCUUCUUUCUAUUCUUUCCAGUUUUUUCUUCCAAGUUUCGUCAUAUGGUUUAACAAUCUGUAGCCAUCUGCUAAACAGAGUCCAUAUUUCUUUAAUUUUAUUCUGUUUGUCUGACCAUGUUUUUUUGUUUCUUAUAAUGUCCAUAAUAUCCAGUUAUAUUUGAUCCCAUAUAUAUUCAUACCAUUUUUCAAGUGCCCAUUUCAUUUUAUCCUUCCACCCCCCAUGCUAUUACUGCAUGUGUGGCUCUAAACAUUAUCACCAUUAAUUCUUGGUCUUGGUCCUUAAUACUUCUGUCCCCAUAUAUCCCUAUUAACAGAAUUUGCAUAUUUAGUAUGUAAUUCAACCUGGGUUAGAAUUUGGAAUUUAAUCCCUGAAUCAUGUAUGCCAGCUGAGUUGGUGUUCUGUACCAUUUUGUAAUUAUUUUCAUUUCUAAUUCCUUAUAUUUGUCUAUUUUUUUUAUUUUAUUUUAACCAUUGACUAUCUUUUCUAUCUUUUCUUUUCCUAGGCCCCCUUCCUUUUCCUACUUGUUUUCCAUUAUUCUAUACAUAGACUCCUUAUCUUCUAUCAUUCUUCCAUAUAUUGUAUUUAAUCCUUUUUUAAAACCAAGUCUCUCUUUUAAUAUCUUGCCUAUUAUAUUUUCUCCCUCAUUACUUUCUUCCUUCUUGAUUUGUUCCCAGAUUCCUCUUAGUGUUAACCAAUUUAUCCCACCCCCUGAUGGAUUUGUAAUUGUUAAGUGACCGAACCCAAAGGGUGCUCACCAAUGGUUCCUCUUCAUCCUGGAAAGAAGUGACUAGUGGAGUGCUGCAGAGUCCAGUCUUGGGCCCAGUUCUGUUCAACAUCUUUAUUAAUGACUUGGAUGAAGGUUUCAAGGGAGUGCUUAUCAAGUUUGCAGAUGACACCAAAUUAGGAGGGGUCACUAAUACUCCAAAAGUCAGACCUCACCUGGAAUACUUUGUCCAAUUCUGGACACCACAAUUCUAUGACCUCAUCAUACAGACCUCUGGAAGGGUCCAACGAUUAUUCCACUCCAGCUAGAAGACGGAAGGGCAUGGCACCAUCAUACAAUGCAAAGGAACGUCCUGUGGUGGCCCCUCCUCCAACUGAAGUGAAAGCGUCACUCUCAACAAUGGAGCUGGCACACUUCUGUUUAAUCCAGGUGAUACUACCCCUGUAGUGUCACUGUGAGGGAUUAGCACGCAGGGUGACAGAUUCGCCCCAGGUGCUUCUCAUUACCACGGUGAAGCCAGGUGACUCUGGAUCACGGGCACACGUAAGAGCUUCCAGUUAUCAUCAUCAAUCCGUAAUAGAGCUGACACAAAUCUAGGAACCACAACCAAGUAGCAAAGAUGGACUGCAGAAACAUGAGACCAAGUAUAUUUUGAAUUUGUAACACUGCAAUUUAUCAUAUUGCAAUGUAAGUAGAGCUUAUGUUCUUGUGGCAUAUCAGCAAUCUUCAUCUUAAAAUCAACCAAAGCUUAUAAUAAAAUCACUGCUUCUCAGUUCACUAAAAUGAUAGGAGUCAUUGUUAGAGAUAUAGUUUUCAAUAAGUUUCUUUUGAAAAGUAGCAACGAAUUUCUUCCUGCUGUACAAAACUAUUUGAAAACCACCAUUACUGAAGGUUUGCAAUUCAAGAUUUGUUUUGUGUAAAAUUUGCUUGUCAUUGUUUUGUUUUUGACUAUUUGAUAGUUUUCCUUCUCUAGUCAAUUUUCAAAGUAAUAUUUUGAAGUUUUUUUAAGCAUUUGUAACAACUAAAGUUGGAUUUACACAUUGCAACCAUAUAGAGUCCACAUAUAUUUAUAGCUCUGCUCUUAGCUUAACAAAUAACCCAUGCCCAGUAGGUGCUAAAUAAUAUUUUCCAGUUAUUUGUGAUUCUUUUUCUCUCUCGUAGCUUUUUAUUAAUCCAACAAAAAGAAGGCACAUGUCCAGGUGAAAGGGAACAAAGUUGCUAGGUCACAGUAUUGAAGAAACAGUUGGCAUAACUGUCAUUAGUAGUUUCUUCAUACUUCUUUGAAAAGGGUAUUGAGAGAAAGCAAUUAAGAAUGCAGCUGAGUUUCAUAAAUAAACUUGGAAGCCCUCAAGAACAGAUGUGACAAACCAAAGAGAGCCAAUGAACUCAACGUCUUUUACAGGAUGAGAAAGGAUUCAUUUUUGCCUUCAGACAGUAGCUGAUAUAAAGCUUCUGUGCAUUUCAACUGCUGUGGCAUAACACAGUAAUGUUAGAUAGCAUUUGAGCUUCCACAGCCUCUGGCUUAGCCUUUCCUUUUUAAUUGCAGUUUGCAGUGUGAUAUUUCUGGAUGGAAAACACACAUUGAAAUCAGCUAGUCAGACCCGCCAAUCCAUUGAUUACUUUUUAGUGUAUAAGCUCUCAUUAGAAAUGCUAGAGGGAUUUUGUCUGUGUGGAUUCCUACGUAAGUGGUUUUGCCCGUCUUGGACUGAUGUGUGAAUUAGAAUUUAAUUAUCCUCCAGAUUUUGAACUCUUGACAAAUUUUACAACCCUGUCCUGAUGAUUUAAAGAAACCAGAAUCCAACUUUUUAAUGAUUUUUUUCUCUUUUUCUUAGCCCUCGCUAAUGGGUAAAAAGGACAAUUUGCUAUCCAUUCAUGAUAUCCUAAAGCAGCUGACUGAAGUAGCAAUUUGCUCUAUCUCAAGAUAAGGCUGAACCCAAAUCAGAAGAGAGAAAAUGAUGCACAUGUUAUGCAUAUCACACCCUAAAGAUAUGCACUCUAUUUCUUCUAAUUUCCCUUGUUUUUUUAAUGAUACAGUGUUCCCUCACUUAUCACAGGGGUUACGUUCCAGGAUCACCUGCAAAAAGUCAAAAUCCAUGAAGUAGAGACACUAUAUUUAUUUUAAUAUUUAUACAUUAUUUUAGUAGUUAUACACUAUUUUAAGUCUUUAUCAACCAAUCGUGUGUUGACAAAUUGCCUCCUCCUCCUCCCAUUGCCACUUGGGCUCCUUUUCUCUCCCUUCAGCUUCUCCUUCCUCCCUUCCUUAGGCUGUAAAUUGUAAUUUUUUAUGAUUUCUAAUAUUUUAGAGUUUAUUGAAAAACUGUGAAACAGCAAAACCGCAAAAAGUGAACGGCAAGGUAGUAAGGGAACACUGUACAUGGGAGAAAUUCACAUGUUUAGUCUUUAAAGAAAGAAAUGAGUUUGAUAAUAAUAAUAUAAAAUAUUCAAGAUUGGUCAAAAUAUUUUUGUUGAGAAGCCAUGAUGAGAAGAAUCCUGAACUCAUGAGAACCUCUGCAGUUCAGAGCUUCUUCUGUGAAAAUAUCAAAUGUGGUUGUUUUGCACAGGAAACAGCAUAUUCUGUGCAUAAAACAGUAUUUUAUGUGUAGAAAAUACUAUUUUGAUGCAGAAAUAAUUCCUGAACAGAAAAAUCUGGGGAUUUGCACAUGGUUGAUUUGUAUGGAAAACACUGUUUUCUAAACUGAAAAUAGCAAAUUCUGUGCAAAAUUUAAAAUUUAUGUGCAAGGACUUAAUAUGCAUGCAUUGAAAUACUAUUUUCUAUCCAGAAAAUGCUGUUUUCUUUCCAGAAAAUGCUAUUCUCUGUGAAAAACAUUCCCAUGCAAAUUUUGCAUAGAAGAAGCCCUGAAUUGCAAAUAACAAUUGAAAACAGAAUGUUUUGAAGACUUUCUUGCAGUGGGAAGGCUAAAUUACUGAUGUUAUUUGUUUCUACCUCUCAGAAGAAAUGUACUGAAGAAUUGCAUUCCAAGAAAGGAGCAGAACUAUUGUAUGAUUAGGUAUAAGGAUAUGCUUUUUCACCAGCCACAAUCUACUGUUGCUCAAAAUCUAAGGAAGCACAGUAGAGGUACUUCUAGAAUUUGUCCUGGCUGAUUUAAUACUAUUACAUCAGGACUAUACCAUGAAAAUGCUCUUUUGCCAUCUCUAACUUUCUGUGUCUAAUCAGCCAGUUGUUAUGCUAUAAUAGCUUCCCUUGCAAAGAUAGUGCCAAAGAAUUCAGCACAGGGAAGAUUGCAUCCUGAAACAAGCAAUUCACAAAGCUUUGUUAAAGAACUACGACUUUUCCUAUCACUGGCAAAUUGCAUCAUAUCCCCAAGGGGCUCAAUUUAACACCAGUGAUCAUCGGCCAGUUAGUACACCCUUUUUGUUCUAUUUGGAACUUCUCAGGAACCUUUUUCCAAUUCUUCUUCACUUUGGAGUCUUUGAGCUUAACAAGUUCUGCUCAGCAUGCUUAUGAAAUUUACAGCAGAUGCUUUUUGUGCUGAAACUUCUGUCUUCCCUUUUGUUAAAGAAAAGAGAAAAAAAAACGAGCUUUAAGUUAUUUAAGUUGUAUGGAAAAUAUGAAAAGUUUGCCAAAUAAUUGAUGGAGUUCCAAAGUCUUUAUUUUAAACCUUAGAUGGUUUAAGCUGCACUCUUAAAUAUAUUUAAUAGGGAGUAACUGUCAUUUAACCCAAUGUGAUUGACUGCUUUUAGA